UACGUAGGGGGCGAGCGUUGUCCGGAUUUAUUGGGCGUAAAGAGCUCGUAGGCGGCUUAGCAAGUCGGGUGUGAAAACUCCAGGCUCAACCUGGAGACGCCACUCGAGACUGCUAUGGCUAGAGUCCGGUAGGGGACCACGGAAUUCCUGGUGUAGCGGUGAAAUGCGCAGAUAUCAGGAGGAACACCGAUGGCGAAGGCAGGUCUCUGGGCCACUACUGACGCUGAGAAGCGAAAGCAUGGGGAGCGAACAGG
rnacentral:rRNA from 1 species